CAUGGAAGUUAUAGAGUUAAAGGAGUGUAAGAAGAUUACAAUAAAAGAUGUGCCUACAUGGAGGGUUAAUACGGCGACGUCAAGGAGGCAGGGGUGUAUGUAAGUUGAAAGAAAUUUCAUUUAGUGGUCAUGACUUUGAAGAUGGGGAGUCCUUCCCUGAGGAGGGCUUGCUAUCGUCCAGCCUCCAAUCUCUUUCAUUCUCAGGUUGUCACAGCUUGAGAAGAUUAAAUUGCAGGGGUCUUCUCCACCUCCAAUAUUCCCUUGCUUCCUUAUCUUUUCAAGACUGUCCAAGCAUGAGUUUUGAAGGCAUGCCAGAAAAUGGUUUCCCUCCAUCCCUUUCUCAUUUAUCUAUUGAAGAUUGUUCGUUGUUGGAGGAGAGGUUUAAAAAUCAGACAGCACUAGAUUGGCCUAAAAUUGCUCAUAUCCCUCAUGCCUCCAUACGUAGAGCUUGACUCUCAUUCUGCUCAAAGACAUUCCUAAAGCUACAGUCUCAAGUUUCCUGGAGCAAAACAACAUCAUUUAUUAAUACUGCUUAUUCUGGAAAAGCAUCAGACCAAAAAAGGGGGAAUUUCUGGCUUCAAUUUCAGAUUAAAAGAAAAGGCUCCUCAACCUCAAUUGAAGUAUUCAAACCAGCAUCAAUGGCUCAUAUACAUAGUACUUCUGCAGAAAUUAAACUAACCUUCCAGUUGAUUUUACUUGCUCCAUCUAGAUUUGGUUGGUGAUGGAGUACAUAACAUCGUGCGAUACAUAUAAUUGAUCUCAUAUAAUAAGAUAAGAUUUGUUGCUCUUGUUACAUUGUUGUAUUUCCUUCUGUCUAUUUUGUAGGAGUUGAUUGGUUUUUUUUCCCCCAUUUUUCUUUCGCCGGAACUUUCUUUGAUUUGUAGCAAGACUUUAUUAUUCAAUGUUGCCUUGUAAAGUGUCAUCACUACAUUUCAAGUGAUUCAUUGUCUUAAAAGUUUAUUUCUACGUUCUUAGUUAGAAGUUAGUAGUU